rnacentral:rRNA from 1 species
CCUACGGGUGGCAGCAGUGGGGAAUAUUGGACAAUGGGGGGAACCCUGAUCCAGCGACGCCGCGUGAGUGAAGAAGUAUUUCGGUAUGUAAAGCUCUAUCAGCAGGGAAGAAAAUGACGGUACCUGACUAAGAAGCCCCGGCUAACUACGUGCCAGCAGCCGCGGUAAUACGUAGGGGGCAAGCGUUAGCCGGAUUUACUGGGUGUAAAGGGUGCGUAGGCGGUGCAGCAAGUCUGGAGUGAAAGGUCGGGGCCCAACCCCGGGACUGCAGUGGAAACUGUCGAACUAGAGUGCGGGAGAGGUAAGCGGAAUUCCUAGUGUAGCGGUGAAAUGCGUAGAUAUUAGGAGGAACACCAGUGGCGAAGGCGGCUUACUGGACCGUAACUGACGUUGAGGCUCGAAAGCGUGGGGAGCAAACAGGAUUAGAUACCCGGGUAGUC